GAUGAACGCUGGCGGCGUGCCUAAUACAUGCAAGUCGAGCGAACAGAUAAGGAGCUUGCUCCUUUGACGUUAGCGGCGGACGGGUGAGUAACACGUGGGUAACCUACCUAUAAGACUGGGAUAACUUCGGGAAACCGGAGCUAAUACCGGAUAAUAUUUCGAACCGCAUGGUUCGAUAGUGAAAGAUGGUUUUGCUAUCACUUAUAGAUGGACCCGCGCCGUAUUAGCUAGUUGGUAAGGUAACGGCUUACCAAGGCGACGAUACGUAGCCGACCUGAGAGGGUGAUCGGCCACACUGGAACUGAGACACGGUCCAGACUCCUACGGGAGGCAGCAGUAGGGAAUCUUCCGCAAUGGGCGAAAGCCUGACGGAGCAACGCCGCGUGAGUGAUGAAGGUCUUCGGAACGUAAAACUCUGUUAUUAGGGAAGAACAUACGUGUAAGUAACUGUGCACGUCUUGACGGUACCUAAUCAGAAAGCCACGGCUAACUACGUG
rnacentral:rRNA from 1 species